GACUCUUUUGAGUGUCUAUUUUAAAAUUGUUGAAAAUACGUUCUUUUUGUCAUUUUGAAAAAAUAUUUCUUAAAACAUAAAAUUAAAAACGCGUUAACAUUUUUGUCAUUCUUUUUGUCUUCUGCCAUGGGUGAUUUUCGCCCCCUCCAUGAGCUGCCGUUUUCUACCUCACAAACUGAUCACCACCCACCACCUAGAUCACCAAAUCCCAGUAUCACUCGAACCCCCUCACCUUCCUCUACAACAUCCGACGAUUAUUUGACUAAGAACCUGUUGGAAACAACCCCAACAAACCACGCUACUAUUCAUAGUUUCGACCUAAUUAACACCGCCACCAGCUACCUUUCUGAUCGUGGACCACCACAAAUUCACUCUCAACAAGGAGCAUUCAAUACUACCAUGGGUCAUCUUCAAUUAUGUUCAGAAUCGAUUGAUCUUAUGGAAGCCGUCUGUGAGUUUUGAAGACAUGGCUGGAGUCAUCUGGGGGUGGGCAAUCAACUGCUGGUAGUGCGUGACCUUUGGUGUCACUGGAGGUGGAGAUUCCGACAAAAGCAGUUUGCACGAGAUCAGAUUUUGAGGAUGAUUUUUGAUCGAUUUUGAUAUAUGUUUGGGUUGUUGUUUGUAUAGUAAUUGAAGAGGGGAUUGAGGGCUUCACAAUGGUACGUAAAUCCGAUGGUUUUUGAGGAGGUUGGUCGAAGUUUAGAGGGUUGGAAAGUGGCAGCUCCAUUGUUUUAGUAGAAGAAAGCUGGGGAAAUGGAAAUGGUUGUCUUCUGUGUUUUCAUUCCAGGCGUGUGUUUGUCUUGAAAAUACGCAAAACAUCUUUUUGAUGUUUUGAGUUUUCAAGCCUUUUUUUUUUUCCAAAAAUUUAUUUUUGAAAAGGAGAAAGAAAAUGUGUUUUCACUACUUUGAAAAAUAAAAAAUAGAAAAUGGGAUGAAAACAGUAAAGAGAACAGCCUACGUAAAUCCGAUGGUUUUUGAGGAGGUUGGUCGAAGUUUAGAGGGUUGGAAAGUGGCAGCUCCAUUGUUUUAGUAGAAGAAAGCUGGGGAAAUGGAA
rnacentral:lncRNA from 1 species